GGGGAAUAUUGCGCAAUGGGGGAAACCCUGACGCAGCAACGCCGCGUGAAGGAUGAAGGCUUUCGGGUUGUAAACUUCUUUGAUGAGGGACGAAAGAAAUGACGGUACCUCAAAAACAAGCCACGGCUAACUACGUGCCAGCAGCCGCGGUAAUACGUAGGUGGCGAGCGUUGUCCGGAAUUACUGGGUGUAAAGGGCGUGUAGGCGGGGAUGCAAGUCAGAUGUGAAAUGCCGGGGCUUAACUCCGGAGCUGCAUCUGAAACUGUGUUUCUUGAGUGUCGGAGAGGAAAGCGGAAUUCCCAGUGUAGCGGUGAAAUGCGUAGAUAUUGGGAGGAACACCAGUGGCGAAGGCGGCUUUCUGGACGAUAACUGACGCUGAGGCGCGAAAGCGUGGGGAGCAA
rnacentral:rRNA from 1 species